UUGUGGGUACUGGCUGAGAAGGGACAGGAUUCCAAAAGGGUUGAAGAGAAGCAACUGCCCAUCAGAACAAACCAAGACUUUCUGGAAGAGAUUGGCCGGCUGGCAGUGGAAGAGGACCAGCUGAAGAAGGAAAUGCAAGAUGCAAAGGGUCAGAAUGAGCUGCUAGGAUGCCCGUUGCUAGAACUUGAAGGAAGAGGCCCUGUCUGCUGUAAACUCUCAAAUGGAGCACUGUCUUCAGCCCCAAACCGAAAUUCAGGGAAAGUCUCAGAUGCUUUCAAGCAUAUGUAAGGGAACAUAUAACACUUGCUUUCCUUUCUUUAUAAAAUUUGUAUGUUCAGAAUCAUUUCACUGCCUUAAUAUCUUCUGGAGAGAAUGCUCACCAAAGUCUUUGGACAUGUACCAGGGCUAAUAUAUUUAUUUUCUAUGGUUUGUUUUGCAGUUAACAAAAUACUUUGUUUCUGGAAAAAAAAAUUACACUUUUUAAACAUAUGACCCUGAGUUUUCAUUGAAAUCUUAGUACAUACUUUAUUUCUGUCCUGUGUGAAGAUACUGGAAAAAGGAACAUCUCCAGAGAACUUGAAAGGUGGUGUUUCAAUGAACACUUCAGGAAUUUGAGCCAGGUGUUUCGAAGACCAGAUCUGAGGAUUCGAUGCAGCGAGCUGUGACAACAGGGGACUGCAGCCUGGAAGAGGGUAAAAAGAAAAUGCAAGACCACCAUGCUGCAUCGGGAUCUCUGAAAGAACGUGAGGAAGACGGUUUCCAAAGGCAGGUGAAGAAAGUAAGUGUCCUUGAUGAAAUCAGUGGACAGAGAUCUAUGGACACUGAAGGGAAGGUGGACAUGAACGGAUGUGAGCUGGUGGGAAAGCAGCAGCUGUUGGCAGCAAAGGAGGAGGCAAAAUUGGCUGAAGAGGAGACAAGAUG